UUGUACGCAGUAGGUGGCUUGGAACCUAAAUGACCUUCUCUCAGGGCAGCCUCGGCAUCUUCCUUGAGUCUGAGCUUGGCGGCCUCAUGAUUAGCACGAGGAUCUCUCCUAAUGUCAUGGAGAGUAAGAGGAAGCUCAUGGUCUGUGUCCGCAGAAAUUCCGUAGUCAGAGACCUCCCGCGUGUACAAGCGGUCACUAGGCUGCUGCUUCUCCUUUUCCGUAUCAACGGCCACUUUGUCAAACUCGUCUUCUUCCUCCUCAUAGUCAAGGGUGCAAUCUAAACCAAUGCCAGACCGGAUAUCUGAUUCAUUAUCAUCAUCUGGUUCUUGGCCGUCGCCGAGCUGUUCCAGAUCGGACUGGAGCUGUUUGGGAAAAUCUAGGGUUUGGGGGGACUUCGAGAAGAAGCCGUCAAUAUGGGGAGGGCAGGGUUUGGAAUCAAAGUCGACUAGCUCGCGGGAUGGGGUAUCCCUAUUCCAUUCCCUUUUCUCAAUUUCAUCGUCGGUUAAACACCAGAGAGAACUCAAAUUAGAGGUCUCCGUCAAAGACCCGAACACUUUGUCCACCCGUACUCUGAAGCUCUCAUCCAUUGUAAACAGUGAGCUUUGCUUUGAAAAUCGCUCGCACUUCGCCUCUCCCUUUGUAAAGAUAUGGACUCUAUAGCAGGUAAAUCGGGGCUGCCG
rnacentral:misc_RNA from 1 species